rnacentral:rRNA from 1 species
CAGUAGCCACGGUAAUACGGAGGGCGCGAGCGUUACCCGGAUUUACUGGGCGUAAAGGGCGUGUAGGCGGCCUGGGGCGUCCCAUGUGAAAGGCCACGGCUCAACCGUGGAGGAGCGUGAGAUACGCUCAGGCUAGAGGGUGGGAGAGGGUGGUGGAAUUCCCGGAGUAGCGGUGAAAUGCGCAGAUACCGGGAGGAACGCCGAUGGCGAAGGCAGCCACCUGGUCCACUUCUGACGCUGAGGCGCGAAAGCGUGGGGAGCAAACCGGAUUAGAGACCCCCGUAGUCCCUGUCUCUUAUAC